GGAAGGGUGACCAACCGUGGGGAGGAAGUCUGCGAAGAUGACCGUUAAUCCAGCACCAAUCUCGUCGCUGGGCGUCUUCUCGCCAAAGCUGUGAGGUGACGAACAGAAACGCCGUCGAGGCAGGCGAAUCUUGAGGUGAGUGGCCCGAGGACCACAAAGCCGUUUCCGACAAGACCGUCUGUAGACGACGCACUUGUGCAGCGAAAGUUCACGUC
rnacentral:ncRNA from 1 species